GCCGCGGUGGUUUAGAGGUAGAACGUUCGCCCUGCAUGCGGAAGAUCGGGGUUCGAAUCCCAGCUGCGACA